CAAAAGUCCGUGAACUCUCAAACGAAUCCGCAAUUAAAUAUUCUGCCCAUGCGGGGAGGGAUGAGAAGCUUCGACCAAGGUGCGACUCGAGCGCCAGCGAGAAAGCGUUGCCGCAGGCAACGAUCCGAAGGGUGAAGCGCGCAGCGCUAGUAAUCCUUCCCCCACCACCA
rnacentral:sRNA from 2 species